rnacentral:rRNA from 1 species
UUGUUGGAAUCCGGCAGACCCUUUUCUGCAGCCGAAUACUUAGCAUGGGAUAAUGGAUUAGGACCCUGUCCUCCUAUUUUGCGUGUUGGUUUUCGAGGACCGGGUAAUGAUUAAUAGGGAUAGUUGGGGGCAUUAAUAUUUAAUUGUCAGAGGUGAAAUUCUUGGAUUUAUGAAAGAUUGACUUCUGCGAAAGCAUCUGCCAAGGAUGUUUUCAUUAAUCAAGAACGAAAGUUAGGGGAUCGAAGACGAUCAGAUACCGUCGUAGUCUUAACCAUAAACGAUGCCGACCAGCGAUUAGGAGACGUUGAAUACAAAACACCACCGUUGGGUCGUGGCGGGCCGUGCCCCGCGGUCCGUCGUGCGCGGCGACGCGUGCGGCGGCCACGGGGACCGCGGUCCGUAUCAGCCACCCGACGGCCCGGUGAAUGACUCCGAA